CCCGUCUUCCUCUGGGCCCCAUCUUGUCAGGUUCCUUCCAGUUCCUUGAGUGCGCGGUGUUCCUCCCUGCUGUGUGGCCUCUGUACGUUCUGUUCCCCGCCAGGAACUCCUCCCCUUUCCCGGGCUCACUCCCAGGCGUCCCUGGCUCUCAGGGUCAAAGUUCUUUCCUGACCAUCCCACGUGAACCAGCCUCCCUCUGUUGCUCGCUCAGGUCCGCUCAGCACCUGCACAGCUCAAGCGUCUCACUAUAUAGCAAGGCUGGUCUUGAACUUUGAUCCUCCUGCCUCAGCCUCCCAAGUGCUGGGAUUACAGAAAUUGCUUUAAGGAGUGGCCUGCUGUCAUUUUUUACUGAGGAAGACAUAAAAACACUUUCUGGUGCUGGAGGCGGGAAAUCUGGUCUACAAGUAACUAGUUGUAUGAUCUAUUCUACA
ensembl:lncRNA